CCUACGGGAGGCAGCAGUGAGGAAUAUUGGACAAUGGCCGAGAGGCUGAUCCAGCCAUGCCGCGUGCGGGAGGACGGCCCUAUGGGUUGUAAACCGCUUUUGUCAGGGAGCAAUAAGGGUCACGUGUGGCCCGAUGAGAGUACCUGGCGAAUAAGCAUCGGCUAACUCCGUGCCAGCAGCCGCGGUAAU
rnacentral:rRNA from 1 species